AGUCCGAAUACCUCCAAUAAGUGC
rnacentral:siRNA from 1 species